ensembl:misc_RNA 7SK 7SK RNA
GGAUGCGAGGGUGAUCUAGCUGCAACAUCUGUCACCUCAUUGAUCGCCAGUGUUGAUUUGGCUGAUCUGGCUGAUCUUCUUCCUUUAUGGCUCCAUGUGCCUCCCUCCUGAAGCUGCAUGCUUGGUGAAGAGCAUGAGCUUCUCUCACAGAGGAGGACCUUCCUUCCAUCAAGAAUAAACGAGUAGCUGUGCUCCCCUGCCAGAACCUCCAAACAAGCACAAAAGGUCCAAAGACCCUGAGCAAAUGAAAAGGCACAGACAAAAAGAUAUAUAUUU